ensembl:lncRNA
GGUAUAGUUACUACAGGCUGCCUCUUGGUCCCCCUCAGGUUCUCUAGCAGGUUAUUCCAGAGGCUGGGGUAUAGUUACUACAGGCUGCCUCUUGGUCCCCCUCAGGUUCUCUAGCAGGUUAUUCCAGAGGCUGGGGUAUAGUUACUACAGGCUACCUCUUGGUCCCCCUCAGGUUCUCUAGCAGGUUAUUCCAGAGGCUGGGGUAUAGUUACUACAGGCUGCCUCUUGGUCCCCCUCAGGUUCUCUAGCAGGUUAUUCCAGAGGCUGGGGUAUAUUUACUACAGGCUGCCUCUCCAUGCCUCUUGGUCCCCCUCAGGUCCUCUAGCAGGUUAUUCCAGAUGCUGGGGUAUAGUUACUACAGGCUACCUCUUGGUCCCCCUCAGGUUCUCUAGCAGGUUAUUCCAGAGGCUGGGGUAUAGUUACUACAGGCUGCCUCUUGGUCCCCCUCAGGUUCUCUAGCAGGUUAUUCCAGAGGCUGGGGUAUAGUUACUACAGGCUGCCUCUUGGCCCCC